GCAGUCUAUGUCAUACUUCCAAGAAAAGCUUGCACUGUCAUAAACAAAUAAUGCCUGUACCAUAACCGACACAGGUGGGUAGGUAGAGUAUACUAAGGGGCGCGAGAUAACUCUCUCUAAGGAACUCGGCAAAAUGACUCCGUAACUUCGGGAGAAGGAGUGCCUUAUUUAUAAGGUUGCAAUAACAAGAUCCAAGCAACUGUUUAUCAAAAACACAGGUCUCCGCUAAGUCGCAAGACGAUGUAUGGGGGCUGACGCCUGCCCAGUGCCAGAAGGUUAAAGAAGUUGGUUAGCAUUAGCGAAGCUGAUAACUGAAGCCCUGGUGAACGGCGGCCGUAACUAUAACGGUCCUAAGGUAGCGAAAUUCCUUGUCGGGUAAGUUCCGACCCGCACGAAAGGCGUAAUGAUUUGGAUACUGUCUCGGAGAGGGACUCGGUGAAAUAGACUUGUCUGUGAAGAUGCGGACUACCUGCGCCAGGACAGAAAGACCCUAUGAAGCUUUACUGUAACCUGAAAUUGAAAUUGGACUUUAUUUGCGCAGUAUAGGUGGGAGGCAUUGAUAAUAUUCUUGCGGGAAUGUUGGAGCCAUCAGUGAGAUACCACUCUUGUAAUGUUAGAUUUCUAACUUUGUAUCAUUAUCUGGUCAAAGAACAGUUUCAGGCGGGCAGUUUGACUGGGGCGGUCGCCUCCCAAAUGGUAACGGAGGCGCACAAAGGUUUCCUCUGAACGGGUAGAAAUCGUAUCUAGAGUGUAAAGGCAUAAGGAAGCUUGACUGUGAGACCUACAAGUCGAGCAGGGACGAAAGUCGGUCUUAGUGAUCUGACGGUGCUGAGUGGAAAGGCCGUCACUCAACGGAUAAAAGUUACUCUAAGGAUAACAGGCUGAUCUCCCCCAAGAGUUCACAUCGACGGGGAGGUUUGGCACCUCGAUGUCGGCUCAUCGCAUCCUGGGGCGGUAGUACGUCCCAAGGGUUGGGCUGUUCGCCCAUGAAAGCGGUACGCGAGCUGGGUUCAGAACGUCGUGAGACAGUUCGGUCCAUAUCCGGUGUAGGCGUUAGAAUAUUGAGAGGAGCCUUCUUUAGUACGAGAGGACCGAGAGGGACAUACCUCUGGUGUACCAGUUAUCGUGCCAACGGUAAACGCUGGGUAGCUAUGUAUGGAGAGGAUAACCGCUGAAAGCAUCUAAGUGGGAAGCCCACCUCAAGAUAAGUAUUCU
rnacentral:rRNA from 1 species